GCAGCAAGAUGACCAGGAGGGUGAUGACUUGGACCUAGAGGCAGCUGUGAAGCCAGACACGGACCAGCUCCCAGACAGCGCGUCAGAGUCCCUGUCCUGGGGUCAGAGUCAGGACAGUGCAGUGUGCCCUGAAGGGCUCUCCAUGCAGGAUGGAGACGAUCAGCUCAGGGCAGAGGGGCUGUCUUUGAACUCGAAGAUGCUGGCCCAGCAUGUGAACUUAGCAGUCUUGGAAGCCGUUGAUGUAGCUGUCUCUCAGGAAAUCCCCCUUCCCUCCUUGGAGUCUUCUCAUUCCCUUCCUGUACAUGUGGAUAAAGGGAGACUCCAGGUCUCUGCCUCAAAGAAAGGGAAGAGAGUUGUCUUUACACCUGGGCAGGUUACCAGAGAAGACCGAGGGGAUCACCCUGUCCCAGAGGAGCCUCCUUCAGGAGAGCCUGCUGAAGAAGCCAAGACGGAAGGAGGAGAACUUGAGCUGCGUUCCGAUGGGGAGGUUCCUUUGCUGUCAUCCAGCAGUCAAUCUGCAAAACCAGGUGCCCAGCCUCGGAAGUCAGUCCAGCCAGAUGGUUCUGCCUUUCCUCAAGACAAGCCACUCGGACCUCUGGUUCGCCAAGCUGAGGAAGAGAUGGAGGAUGGUGGACUCUUUAUCCCAACCGAUGAGGCAGAUGAUGAUGAUGAUCCAGAGUAUAACUUCUUGGAAGAUCUUGAUGAACCAGACACCGAGGAUUUCCGUACUGACCGAGCAGUGAGAAUCACUAAAAAAGAAGUGAAUGGGCUGAUGGAAGAGCUGUUUGAGACUGUGCAAUCUGUAGUCCCCAGUAAGUUCCAAGAUGAAAUGGGAUUCUCAAAUAUGGAAGAUGAUGGCCCAGAGGAAGAGGAGCGUGCAACAGAGUCUCGGCCUAGCUUCAACACCCCUCAAGCCCUACGGUUUGAGGAGCCGUUGGCCAACUUACUAAAUGAGCGGCACCGGACAGUGAAGGAGCUGCUGGAGCAGCUGAAGAUGAAGAAACCCUCAGUCAGACAGCAGCCUGAGGUGGAGAAGCUGAAACCGCAGGAGGAGGCAGCCCAUCAGACUCUGGUCCUCGACCCAGCACAGAGGAGCAGGCUUCAGCAGCAGAUGCAGCAGCAUGUUCAGCUGUUGACACAAAUCUACCUUCUCACCACCUCCAACCCCAACCUCAGCUCCGAGGCCAGUACCACCAGAGUAUUUCUUAAAGAGCUGGGCACCUUUGCUGAGAAUUCCAUUGCCCUUCACCAGCAGUUCAACCCCAGGUUCCAGACCUUAUUCCAGCCUUGUAACUGGAUGGGAGCUAUGCGGCUCAUUGAAGACUUCACCCAAGUCAGCAUUGACUGCAGCCCUCAUAAAACCGCCAAGAAGACUGCCAGUGAAUUUCCCUGUUUGCCAAAGCAAGUGGCUUGGAUCCUGGCCACAAACAAGGUUUUCAUGUAUCCAGAGCUCCUCCCAAUAUGUUCCCUGAAGGCCAAUAAUCCUCGGGAUAAGACCAUCUUCACCAAGGCUGAGGACAAUCUGUUGGCUUUAGGACUGAAGCAUUUCGAAGGGACCGAUUUUCCUAAGCCUCUGAUCAGCAAGUACCUUGUAACUUGUAAGACUGCUCACCAGCUGACGGUGAGAAUCAAGAACCUCAACCUGAACAGAGCUCCUAACAACGUGAUUAAAUUUUAUAAGAAGACCAAACAGCUGCCAGUUCUGGUGAGGUGCUGUGAAGAGAUCCAGCCACAUCAGUGGAAGCCACCUUUUGAGAAGGAAGAACACCGGCUUCCAUUCUGGUUAAAGGCCAGUCUACAGUCCAUUCAGGAUGAACUGCGGAACAUAUCCGAAGGCGCUACAGAGGGAGGAAGUGUGACCACAGCCACUGAGAGCAGCACCGAUCAGCACUUACAGAAAGCCAGCCCUGCCCUGGGAGAUGAACCUCAGUACCCACUGCUGCUACCCAAGGGUGUGGUGCUCAAACUGAAGCCGGGUUCCAAGCGUUUCUCCAGAAAGGCUUGGCCACAGAAGCGGCCAUUGGUCCAGAAGCCCCUCCUUAUCCAACCCAGCUCCUCUGUUCAGCCUGUGUUCAACCCUGGGAAAAUGGCACCGUGGCCAACUCAGUCAGAAGUUCCUCCAAGCAACACAGUGGUCCAGAUUCCUCAUCUGAUCCAGCCAGCCGCUGUCUUACAGACACUUCCAGGGUUCCCUUCAGUGGGGGUUCGUGGAGAAGAUGGUUUUGAGUCUCCAACAUCACUGCCUGCUACGCCUUGUGGGUCUGAAGCCAGGACCAGCUUCCCCUUGUCUGAGACUCAGUCAGAACCUCCUUCUUGCUCUGCACCCAAGUUAAUGCUGCCCUCUCUGGCCCCUUCUGAAUUUCGAAAGCCAUAUGUGAGGUGGAAGCCCACAAGAAGAAAAGGAGCCAAGGCGUCCCCCUGUGUGAAGCCUGCUCCCGUCAUCCACCCGAAACCUGUCAUCUUCACAGUUCCUGCCACUACAGUAAAGGUUGUGAGCCUUGGUGGUGGCUGUAACAUGAUCCAGCCUGUUAGUGCAGCUGUGGCACCAAGUCCCCAGACCAUUCCUAUCACCACUUUCCUUGUUAACCCCACUACUUUCCCCUGUUCAUUAAACCAGCCCCUUGUGGCCUCCUCCAUCUCCCCCCUAAUUGUUUCCAGCAAUCCUCUGACUCUUCCUGUGACAUCUAUUCCUGAAGAUAAGGCCCAAGUGAAGUUGGAUGUUGCUGAAGGGAAAAAUGCUCCUCAGAACCCUGAGUCCAAAUUAAAACCCCAGGAGCUAACUCCUCUCUGUACCACUGUCUUCUCCAAAGAGGAGCCCAAGUCCUGGCAUUCUUCAGCAGAUACGGGAAGCCAGGAAGCAUUCUCUGAAUCCAGUGCCUGCAGCUGGGCUGUUGUCAAAACAGAAAGCCAGGAAGGCUCUUCUGAAAAGAGUGCCUGUGGCUGGACGGUUGUGAAAACAGAAGAUGGUGGGCAUGCUGUGGAGCCAUUGCCUCAGAAUCUCCAGGACUCUCUGAGCUCUUCAUCGAAGGAUUUAUUAAAUAUGGUCAAGAUGGAAGCUCAAGAUUGCAUGGUGGAAAUCUCCAGCAACCUUCCCAAGCAGGACAUUGGGGAGGAAGUGAAAGAGGAACGCUCUAUGGAAUUAGACAGUGAGUCCCCACAGGAGAAGCCGAGUAGUACCAGUGAGAUGAGCAAACAGACAGUCCUGCAGAGGGAAGACACGCAGGCCGCCAAAUCCCCUUCUGUGCCCCAAGACGCUGCUGCUGAGGGACGAACAAGUAGUCAUGCAAGCAGAGGACUGCCAAAAAGCACUCUGUCCUCCAUGGGCCAGGGCGGGGGGCUGAGCGGUCCUCCAGGGAAGCUUGAGGACUCGGCCAAUGCUGACGGCCAGUCUGUGGGAACCCCAGCAGGACCAGACACUGGAGGGGAGAAGGACGGGCCUGAGGAAGAGGAGGAGGAGGACUUUGAUGACCUCACCCAAGAUGAAGAAGAUGAACUGUCAUCAGUUUCUGAGGAGUCUGUGCUCUCUGUCCCAGAGCUCCAGUUUUAUAAGAAGACCAAACAGCUGCCAGUUCUGGUGAGGUGCUGUGAAGAGAUCCAGCCACAUCAGUGGAAGCCACCUUUUGAGAAGGAAGAACACCGGCUUCCAUUCUGGUUAAAGGCCAGUCUACAGUCCAUUCAGGAUGAACUGCGGAACAUAUCCGAAGGCGCUACAGAGGGAGGAAGUGUGACCACAGCCACUGAGAGCAGCACCGAUCAGCACUUACAGAAAGCCAGCUCUGCCCUGGGAGAUGAACCUCAGUACCCACUGCUGCUACCCAAGGGUGUGGUGCUCAAACUGAAGCCCGAUUCCAAGCCUUUCUCCAGAAAGGCUUGGCCACAGAAGUGGCCAUUGGUCCAGAAGCCCCUCCUUAUCCAACCCAGCCCCUCUGUUCAGCCUGUGUUCAACCCUGGGAAAAUGGCAACGUGGCCAACUCAGUCAGAAGUUCCUCCAAGCAACACAGUGGUCCAGAUUCCUCAUCUGAUCCAGCCAGCCGCUGUCUUACAGACACUUCCAGGGUUCCCUUCAGUGGGGGUUCGUGGAGAAGAUGGUUUUGAGUCUCCAACAUCACUGCCUGCUACGCCUUGUGGGUCUGAAGCCAGGACCAGCUUCCCCUUGUCUGAGACUCAGUCAGCACCUCCUUCUUGCUCUGCACCCAAGUUAAUGCUGCCCUCUCUGGCCCCUUCUGAAUUUCGAAAGCCAUAUGUGAGGUGGAAGCCCACAAGAAGAAAAGGAGCCAAGGCGUCCCCCUGUGUGAAGCCUGCUCCCGUCAUCCACCUGAAACCCGUCAUCUUCACAGUUCCUGCCACUACAGUAAAGGUUGUGAGCCUUGGUGGUGGCUGUAACAUGAUCCAGCCUGUUACUGCAGCUGUGGCACCAAGUCCCCAGACCAUUCCUAUCACCACUUUCCUUGUUAACCCCACUACUUUCCCCUGUUCAUUAAACCAGCCCCUUGUGGCCUCCUCCAUCUCCCCCCUAAUUGUUUCCAGCAAUCCUCUGACUCUUCCUGUGACAUCUAUUCCUGAAGAUAAGGCCCAAGUGAAGUUGGAUGUUGCUGAAGGGAAAAAUGCUCCUCAGAACCCUGAGUCCAAAUUAAAACCCCAGGAGCUAACUCCUCUCUGUACCACUGUCUUCUCCAAAGAGGAGCCCAAGUCCUGGCAUUCUUCAGCAGAUACGGGAAGCCAGGAAGCAUUCUCUGAAUCCAGUACCUGCAGCUGGGCUGUUGUCAAAACAGAAAGCCAGGAAGGCUCUUCUGAAAAGAGUGCCUGUGGCUGGACGGUUGUGAAAACAGAAGAUGGUGGGCAUGCUGUGGAGCCAUUGCCUCAGAAUCUCCAGGACUCUCUGAGCUCUCCAUCGAAGGAUUUAUUAAAUAUGGUCAAGAUGGAAGCUGAAGAUUGCAUGGUGGAAAUCUCCAGCAACCUUCCCAAGCAGGACAUUGGGGAGGAAGUGAAAGAGGAACGCUCUAUGGAAUUAGACAGUGAGUCCCCACAGGAGAAGCCGAGUAGUGCCAGUGAGAUGAGCAAACAGACAGUCCUGCAGAGGGAAGACACGCAGGCCGCCAAAUCCCCUUCUGUGCCCCAAGACGCUGCUGCUGAGGGACGAACAAGUAGUCAUGCAAGCAGAGGACUGCCAAAAAGCACUCUGUCCUCCAUGGGCCAGGGCGGGGGGCUGAGCGGUCCUCCAGGGAAGCUUGAGGACUCGGCCAAUGCUGACGGCCAGUCUGUGGGAACCCCAGCAGGACCAGACACUGGAGGGGAGAAGGACGGGCCUGAGGAAGAGGAGGAGGAGGACUUUGAUGACCUCACCCAAGAUGAAGAAGAUGAACUGUCAUCAGCUUCUGAGGAGUCUGUGCUCUCUGUCCCAGAGCUCCAGGAAACAAUGGAGAAACUGACUUGGCUGGCAUCUGAAAGGAGGAUGAGUCAGGAGGGUGAGUCUGAGGAAGAGAACUCCCAGGAGGAGAACUCUGAGCCAGAAGAAGAGGAGGAAGAAGAGGCAGAAGGAAUGGAAACCUUGCAAAAAGAGGAUGAAGUGAACGAUGAAGCCGUUGGAGAUGCUGCCAAGAAACCCCCUUCUACCUUGGCCUCACCUCAGACUGCUCCAGAAAUAGAGACCAGCAUAGCCCCCGCAGGGGAGAGCAUCAAAGCUGCUGGAAAGGGACGGAGCAGUCAUCGGGCUCGAAACAAACGGGGAAGUCGGGCUCGGGCCAGCAAGGACACCUCCAAGCUGCUGUUGCUGUAUGAUGAGGACAUUCUCGACCGGGACCCACUCAGGGAGCAGAAGGACCUGGCGUUCGCACAGGCUUAUCUCACCAGGGUACGCGAAGCUCUCCAGCACACCCCUGGCAAAUACGAAGAUUUCCUUCAGAUCAUCUAUGAAUUUGAGUCAAGCACCCAAAUGCACAGCGCUGUGGAUCUCUUCAAAAGCUUGCAAACCCUUCUCCAAGACUGGCCUCAGCUCUUGAAGGACUUUGCUGCUUUCCUGCUGCCUGAGCAAGCCCUGUCGUGUGGACUCGUAAGUCCACUUUGACGGGCAAAGACUUUACAGCUGACUCCGGGGCAGAGGCAGAGGGGCUCAAAUGCAGCCAAUCAAGACAGUUCCAGUUUUCCCGUUUGUUUACAGGGUUUUAUCUGUAGUACAAGUGGAGAUCUUGAUACGUCACACUCUGCCCUCCCUUCUGAAAAGUACAUUUAAAAAUUUUUUUAAAAUAUAUGGACUUUCUAGGUAGCCCCUGUUGGCCUGGAACUCAUUGUUUAGGUGAGGCUGCACAGAGAUCCUCCUGCCUCUGCCCCUCAAGUGCUGGGAUUGAAGGUGUGUGUCUGAUUAUAGGGGUCCCUCUAAUGGUGAGUGGUGUGUAGUGCUUAUAGCUCUAUUCUAGUGCUACCAAUAUAUUGCUGCAAAACAAAUCUUGGGUCUGGUUUUGUUUUUUUCUAAGCAUUAUUCAUACUGGGAUGCCCUAGAACUAUGUAUGUAGACCAGGCUGGCAUCAAAUUUCUAUGAAGUUACAGAUAUCUGUUUCUGCUUCCUGAGUGCCAGAAUGAAAGACAUGUGCUACCACACCCAGCCUGUUUUUCUCUCUCUUAAAGAUUUAUAUGAGCUGGAGAGAUGGCUCAGAGGUUGAAAUCACUCACUGCUCAUGGAAAGGUCCUGUGCUCAAAUCCCAGCAACGACGUUGUGGCUCACAACCAUCCUCAAUGAGAUCUGGUGCCCUCUUUUGAUUUGCAGUCAGAACACUGUGUAUAUAAUAAAUCUUUGACAAAAAAAUUAUACCUACUUUUUUUUUCUGGUUUUUUUGAGACAGGGUUUCUCUGUAUAGCCCUGGCUGUCCUGGAACUCACUUGUAGACCAGACUGGCCUCGAAUCAAGUUUUUUUUUUUUAAAGAUUUAUUCAUUAUUAUACAUAAGUACACUGUAGCUGACUUCAGACACAUAAAAAAAUAAAUAAAUCUUUUUUUUUUUUUUUUUUUGAGACAGAGUUUCUCUGUUUAGCCCUGGCUGUCCUGGAAUUCAUUCUGUAGACUAGGCUGGCCUUGGAACUCAGAAAUCCAUCUGUCUCUGCCUCCCAAGUGCUGGGAUUAAAGGCGUUCUCAACCACUGUGCUCCAAGAAGCCUGAGAUGUGAUGGUCUUUCCUGGUUUCUAUGGGCAUGUAACUAUUGGUGCACAGGCAUACUUGCAGGCAAAACACCCAUAAAAACAAAACUAGGUCUCACUCUGAAACUCUGACUGGCCUUAAACUUGGAAAGAUCUGCCUGCCGCUGCCUCCCCAGGGUGUCAUAACUCUGAAAUCCUUUCUAUCUCAAUAUUUCACCACUCGGUGAAAGCUGAGAACCAGUCGGAAAUAAACAGUCUUCAUUUUGAAGGAAUAUAGGUAAGGAGAAAGGCCAUUAUUAACACUUGAAAACAUGAUGUGCAGGCCCAUGUCUUAUCCAUACUCCUGUUUAUAUCACUCGGUAAGAUAACUGUUUUUAGGGAGAAGUUAGGAGGCAAGAAUCCCAUCCUGCUUGUUCGCAAACCUGAGUUUCUGACAUUUAACAAAAGCUAAAUAAGUCUGUGUGUAAACAACUGUGUGGCCAAUCAGAAUGGCUCCAAUAUGAAGACAAGGCUCUCCACUGCCCAGUCAGGAGCUUUCUUGCAGAUUGUUUGCUAUUGUUUAGUGAAGGUGAACAUUGACUGACUGACUGACUGACUGACUGAGAAGAGGGCAGAAGGGAACUACCAAGGGAAACAUUAGGUCUCAGUCUCCCAAGUGCUGGGAUUACAGAUGUGAGCCACCACACCUCGUAGAUAAGUGUGUGUGUGCAAUGUGUUCGACGGCACGUACACUCACUCGGGGGUGGCGAGGGGGGAGAGGAAGGCAGAGGAUAAGGUUCUGGAGUCCAUUCUCUCCUUCCCCCAGGCAUAGCUGGUGGAAGUCUCAUAGCUGGAACAUAGCUCAUCAAUCAGGCUUGGCAGCAAGCGCGCCCCCCACCCCCCCUUAGCUACCUUGCUGGCCCAAGACAGAUAUUUUUUUUUAGCGUAAUUUGAAAAUGAAGUCUAAAAGCCAAGACUGGGAGACAUCUGUUUGCACAGUUCUUUGGCUCUAUGGUGUUGUGUCACUGAGGGAACCUACUGCUACGUACAAUGUAUCGACUGUUACAGAGACAACAAGGAUAGGUAGAGAGAAGACAGGCAGUGUCAUGGUUCUGGAGGACCAAGGAGGCUUCCUUACUUGCUCACUGCCAUCCCACCUCUGCCCUACCUUCGCAUCCAUUUCAGUAUUGUUCCCUCUGUCCCCAAAAGCCAAGAACUUGAACUAGAAACAGCAGAUGGUGAAUUCAAGGCCUCUUCCUUGCUCUAAUGAAAAGUUUGGUUUGGUAGUAUUAGUGGUGGUGGUGGUGGUGGAGGCUGCGGUUGGAGAGAUGGCUCAGCAGCUAAGAGCACUGACUGCUCUUCUGAAGGUCCUGAGUUCAAAUCCCAGCAACCACAUGGUGGCUCACAACCACCUGUAAUGAGAUCUGAUACCCUCUUCUGGGGCAUCUGGAGACUGCUACAGUGUACUCAUUUAUAAUAAUAAAUAAAUCUUUGGGCUGGAGUGAGCAGGGACUGAGCAAGUGGGGUUGACUGGAGCGAGCAGAGGUCCUAAAUUCAAUUCCCAACAAUCAGAUGAAGGCUCACAACUAUCUGUACAGCUACAGUGUACUCAUAUACAUAAAAUAAAAAAAAAAUUUAAGAUGUGUUUUUGCUGUGUAGCCCUGGCUCUCUCAGAACUUAUUCUGCAGACCAGGCUGGCCUCAAACUUACAGAGAUCCUCCUGUCACUGCCUGUCUAGUACUGGGAUUCAGGGACUGCGCCAGCAUUGCCCAGCUCACUACUCAGUGAAUGCUUUAAAUAGCUGUGGGGCUUGCAAUGUAGUUCCACUGAUAGAAUGCUCGCCUUCACUGCUCGAGACCAGAGUUUGAUCUCCAUGUUUGCAAUUGCAGUGCUCAGACGUGGAGGUUGGAGGAUCAGGAAUUCAAGGCCAUCCUCAGCUACAGAGCAAGUUCUAGGCUAGCCUGAGCUACAUGAGAACCUAUCUCAAAACAAACAAACAAAUUAGGGCUAGGGAGAUGGCUCAGUGAAUAGAAGUAUUUCUCUCACAAGCACAGGAAUGUGAGUUUGAAUCCUGGGAACCCGUGUAAAAGCUGGGCGCACAGCCCAUGCAUCUGUAUGUCUAUACGUCCUAUGGGAAGACAGGAAUCUCCAGAAAUUCAAGGCCCAGCUAGCCUUCCAUAUGCAGAAGAAAAAUAACAAAUGAGUGUCAGGUGUGGUGGUAAACUCCCUUAAUCUUAGCAUUCAAAAGGCAGAGGAAGGAGGAUCUCUGUGAGUUUGAGACUAAUACCAUCUAUAGAGCAAGGUUAGGGACAACCAUAAUCAUAUAGAGAUACUGUCUCAAGUAAGACAAGACAAAAGCAAACAAAAAGCCAUGAAGAAAGAAAGAAAAUAAGCAGCCAGGUAUAGUGCUGCACACCUUUAAUCUCAGCAUUUAGGAGGCAGAGGCAGAUGGAGCCUGUGAGAUUGAGGCCAGUCAGGUCUACAGAUUCAGUUUCAGGCCACCUGGAGCUACAUAGUGAGAACUUGUCUCAAAAACCAAACCAAACUAAACCAAACCAAACCAAACCAAACCAACCCAAACCAAACCAACCCAACCCAAACCAAACCAAACCAAACCUAAGUAUAACAAAAAGACCCGUUUUGAAAGAAGGUAAACGAUAUGGACCGACAUCCUAGGUUGUCUUCUGUUGUGUGUCUGUGCACACAGAGUGAAUGUAUGAUUCAACC